GCCCUUUAAAAAAAUUCACCUUUGUCCUUGUGUUUUUCUCCUGGCUUGGAGAUGCAGAUAGUGGAGAGACCUGGUAGAAUGGAAAUAUACUGAGCAUGGAUUUUGUCAGUCCAACACAUGGAAGCAGCUGGGGCAUUCGAUCCUCUUUACACCAGUAUGUCAAACGAGCAUCUUUCUGUGACCUUGGUGGAAUCAUCACCUUGAGAUUCUAAACAUCUCAAUACCAGAUUACUGCAUGAGGAAGCCGAAAUGGAAGUUGAAAUCUGAAAGAGCAACUGCACCUGACCAAUUACACACAAAAGAAUCACGGGGCAGAAGUGACAGUUUUGGAAGCAAUGAGUAGGAGCUGCCAACCUAAUGACGCAGCACAGCACUUUUCAGCAGGAGGCCCUGCCUCAUGUGGCAGACCUGACCUGAGACAAUUCAGGUCUCAUUUAAGGCAUUUCAAUGAUGAGAACAGAAGCUUCCUAGUCCUGAUUGUCCUGACAUAGUGACCCAAAUGGAAUAUGAGACAGUAGCCUCAAGCUAACAUCAUAUUGGGUGAAGGACAAUAGAAAAGGAUUCUGUCUGUCCCCUUGGAACAGAGUGGAGCAUCAGGAAACACCCACCUGCUUUCCAUAAAUCAUUGGAUGUCCUGGGCCUAUCCUUGCAGAAGAUUCACAAAGUGCACUGCAGAGCAGCUAUACUCUGCACCUCCUCCAGCAUCAAGCUCAGCCUGAACACUCAGCCAGUCGUGCCUUUUGGAAGGAACAAAGCCCUUUAGCCUAAGAUUGGCAGAAGCCUCUGUGGUUCUGUUCCCUCAGGGCCUCAUCUUUGGGAUUUGUCACUGCCCUGGCCAGAGGCUGGGCCCCUUCAGUGAAAGACUCCCCACUUCCUAGUGAAGACCGGGCGUUUCCCAAAUCUACAUUUCUGCAAGGUCAAAAUCAAGCAAUAAUCUCCUAAAACUGAGAUUCUGGAUUCCUAAGGAAUUGAAGAGUAACUCACAAUCUGCUCCAGAGCACAAAUUCGAAUUAAUGGGAAUGAUGGUGGAAGCUGACCAGAAAAAAGUCUUAUCCAAGUUAUUUCCAUGAUAUUCAUAUUAACGACUCUU